CCGGCGAGUUACGUUAUGAUGCGAGGUUAAAUUGAAAAGACGGAGCCGCAGCGAAAGCGAGUCUGAAUAGGGCGAAUUAGUAUGUAGUCGUA
rnacentral:rRNA from 1 species